rnacentral:rRNA from 1 species
UCAGCCUACGGGGCGCAGCAGUAGGGAAUCUUCCACAAUGGACGAAAGUCUGAUGGAGCAACGCCGCGUGAGUGAAGAAGGGUUUCGGCUCGUAAAGCUCUGUUGGUAGUGAAGAAAGAUAGAGGUAGGAACUGGCCUUUAUUUGACGGUAAUUACUUAGAAAGUCACGGCUAACUACGUGCCAGCAGCCGCGGUAAUAAGUAGGUGGCAAGCGUUGUCCGGAUUUAUUGGGCGGAAAGCGAGUG